rnacentral:tRNA from 2 species
GCGGAAGUAGCUCAGUGGUAGAGCAUCGCCUUGCCAUGGCGAGGGUCGCGGGUUCGAAUCCCGUCUUCCGCUCCA